UGGGGAAUAUUGGGCAAUGGGCGCAAGCCUGACCCAGCAACGCCGCGUGAAGGAAGAAGGCUUUCGGGUUGUAAACUUCUUUUCUUAGGGACGAAGCAAGUGACGGUACCUAAGGAAUAAGCCACGGCUAACUACGUGCCAGCAGCCGCGGUAAUACGUAGGGGGCGAGCGUUGUCCGGAAUUACUGGGCGUAAAGGGUGUGUAGGCGGUUUGAUAAGUUAGAAGUGUAAUACCCAGGGCUUAACUCGGGUGCUGCUUCUAAAACUGUCAGACUUGGGUGCAGGAGAGGUAAGUGGAAUUCCUAGUGUAGCGGUGGAAUGCGUAGAUAUUAGGAGGAACAUCAGUGGCGAAGGCGACUUACUGGACUGUAACUGACGCUGAGGCACGAAAGCGUGGGUAGCAAACAGGAUUAGAUACCCUGGUAGU
rnacentral:rRNA from 1 species